GCGUUCGUGGUGCAAUGUCAAGGCGCAGGGUGAAUAUCUGGCGAACAUCUUCCACUUCACCCUGAGUUCGGGGUUCGAAUUCCCGCGAGCAUA